UACGGAGGAUGCAAGCGUUAUCCGGAAUGAUUGGGCGUAAAGCGUCCGCAGGUGGCUAUGUAAGUCUGCUGUUAAAGAGUCUAGCUCAACUAGAUAAAAGCAGUGGAAACUACAAGGCUAGAGUACGUCCGGGGCAGAGGGAAUUCCUGGUGUAGCGGUGAAAUGCGUAGAGAUCAGGAAGAACACCGGUGGCGAAGGCGGUUACCUGGGCUUGUUCUGACGCUGAGGCACAAAAGCUGGGGGAGCAAACGGG
rnacentral:rRNA from 1 species